UCGGGAAUUUUGGGCAAUGGGCGAAAGCCUGACCCAGCAACGCCGCGUGAAGGAUGAAGUAUUUCGGUAUGUAAACUUCGAAAGAAUAGGAAGAAUAAAUGACGGUACUAUUUAUAAGGUCCGGCUAACUACGUGCCAGCAGCCGCGGUAAUACGUAGGGACCAAGCGUUGUUCGGAUUUACUGGGCGUAAGGGGCGCGUAGGCGGCAAUUCAAGUCAUCUGUGAAAUCUCCGGGCUUAACUCGGAACGGUCAGAUGAUACUGCUUUGCUAGAGUGCAGAAGGGGCAAUCGGAAUUCUUGGUGUAGCGGUGAAAUGCGUAGAUAUCAAGAGGAACACCUGAGGUGAAGACGGGUUGCUGGGCUGACACUGACGCUGAGGCGCGAAAGCCAGGGGAGCAAACGGGAUUAGAUACCCUUGUAGUCCCUGAGCGGGCUGGCAAGGCGCAU
rnacentral:rRNA from 1 species